AGUGAACGCUGGCGGUAGGCCUAACACAUGCAAGUCGAACGGCGGCACAGUAAGAGCUUGCUCUUACGGGUGGCGAGUAGCGGACGGGUGAGGAAUACAUCGGAAUCUACUUUUUCGUGGGGGAUAACGUAGGGAAACUUACGCUAAUACCGCAUACGACCUACGGGUGAAAGCAGGGGAUCUUCGGACCUUGCGCGAUUGAAUGAGCCGAUGUCGGAUUAGCUAGUUGGCGGGGUAAAGGCCCACCAAGGCGACGAUCCGUAGCUGGUCUGAGAGGAUGAUCAGCCACACUGGAACUGAGACACGGUCCAGACUCCUACGGGAGGCAGCAGUGGGGAAUAUUGGACAAUGGGCGCAAGCCUGAUCCAGCAAUACCGCGUGGGUGAAGAAGGCCUUCGGGUUGUAAAGCCCUUUUGUUGGGAAAGAAAAGCAGCAGGUUAAUACCCCGCUGUUCUGACGGUACCCAAAGAAUAAGCACCGGCUAACUUCGUG
rnacentral:rRNA from 1 species